rnacentral:rRNA from 1 species
GACGAACGCUGGCGGCGUGCUUAACACAUGCAAGUCGAGCGGUAAGGCCCCUUCGGGGGUACACGAGCGGCGAACGGGUGAGUAACACGUGAGCAAUCUGCCCUUCACACAGGGAUAACCUCGGGAAACCGAUGCUAAUACCUGAUACGACCACUUCAGGCAUCUGAUGGUGGUGGAAAGUUCCGGCGGUGAAGGAUGAGCUCGCGGCCUAUCAGCUUGUUGGUGGGGUAAUGGCCUACCAAGGCAACGACGGGUAGCCGGCCUGAGAGGGUAACCGGCCACACUGGGACUGAGACACGGCCCAGACUCCUACGGGAGGCAGCAGUGGGGAAUAUUGGACAAUGGGCGAAAGCCUGAUCCAGCAACGCCGCGUGAGGGAUGACGGCCUUCGGGUUGUAAACCUCUUUCAGCAGGGACGAAGCGCAAGUGACGGUACCUGCAGAAGAAGCACCGGCCAACUACGUGCCAGCAGCCGCCGUAAUAC